rnacentral:rRNA from 1 species
GAUGAACGCUAGCGGCAGGCUUAAUACAUGCAAGUCGUGGGGCAGCAGGUUUGUAGCAAUACAGAUGCUGGCGACCGGCAAACGGGUGCGGAACACGUACAGAACCUUCCUUUGAGCGGGGAAUAGCCCAGAGAAAUUUGGAUUAAUACCCCAUAGUAUAAUGAAGUGGCAUCACUUUAUUAUUAAAGAUUUAUCACUCGAAGAUGGCUGUGCGGCUGAUUAGGUAGUUGGCGGGGUAAAGGCCCACCAAGCCUGCGAUCAGUAACUGGUGUGAGAGCACGACCAGUCACACGGGCACUGAGACACGGGCCCGACUCCUACGGGAGGCAGCAGUAAGGAAUAUUGGUCAAUGGAGGCAACUCUGAACCAGCCAUGCCGCGUGGAGGAUGAAGGUCCUCUGGAUUGUAAACUUCUUUAUAUGGACGAAAAAGGCUUUUCUAAGUCGUCUGACGGUACCAUAUGAAUAAGCACGGCUAACUCCGUGCCAGCAGCCG